AGAGCAGCCUGGCAGUGUCCAAGCAACAAGCCUCCGCUCCUCCUUCCUGCACCCUGGGGCUCCUGAAACUCACAUGAGAAGGAGGGCUGUCUGAGAUUCGAGGGAAACAAGCUCUCAGGACUUCCGGUCGCCAUGAUGGCUGUGGGCGGUAAACGCGGUUAGUGCAAGCAUCUGGGCCAUCUUCAAUGGUAAAAAAGAUACAGUAAAGACAUAAAUACCACAUUUGACAAAUGGAAAAAAAGGAGUGUCCAGAAAAGAGUAGCAGCAGUGAGGAAGAGCUGCCGAGACGGGUAUACAGGGAGCUACCCUGUGUUUCUGAGACCCUUUGUGACAUCUCACAUUUUUUCCAAGAAGAUGAUGAGACAGAGGCAGAGCCAUUAUUGUUCCGUGCUGUUCCUGAGUGUCAACUAUCUGGGGGGGACAUUCCCAGGUAAGAAAAGCUAUUCCGUUGGAAAACUAUUGGACGCUGUGUCUCAAUAUCACAGAGGAACAUGAGAAUUAGAGGAAUUUGGGUGUUUUUCAUCGAACUCAGGGGAGAAUGAAUGAGCUUAUGCA
rnacentral:lncRNA from 1 species